GACGAACGCUGGCGGCGUGCUUAACACAUGCAAGUCGAACGGAAAGGCCCUGCUUUUGUGGGGUGCUCGAGUGGCGAACGGGUGAGUAACACGUGAGUAACCUGCCCUUGACUUUGGGAUAACUUCAGGAAACUGGGGCUAAUACCGGAUAGGAGCUCCUGCUGCAUGGUGGGGGUUGGAAAGUUUCGGCGGUUGGGGAUGGACUCGCGGCUUAUCAGCUUGUUGGUGGGGUAGUGGCUUACCAAGGCUUUGACGGGUAGCCGGCCUGAGAGGGUGACCGGCGACAGUGGGACUGAGGGAGGGCCGAGAAGGCACGGGGGGGCAGUGGGGGAAAACAUGAAAGAGGGGGGGGGAGCCGGUGAGGAAAGCCCCGGGUGCGGAAGAAGGGCUUGGGGGUGAAAAACCAAUGUGGCAGGAGACGAGGGGGGAGUGACGGUAAUGAAUAAAAAAGCCCCGGCUAACUACGUG
rnacentral:rRNA from 1 species